AAAGUUUCUAGAAAUAAAAUUUUAUAUUUUUCGACAUAGUUUACUUUAUUAUCAAACUAUUUCAAAAUUGUCAAUUUUCAAUGGCUAUUAUGCGAGUUUGGAGUUUAAAAGGUGUAGAGAAGAAUCUAAAUUUCUUCAAAUUUUGAUAGAAAAUACUUUAAACUAUAUAGAUUAAGGUUAACAUUCUUGAUCUUGAAUUUAAAAGUUCUAUGCUCAAAUUUUAAAGAUUAUUCAAUUUCCACCGUCUAUUUUGAUAUAAUUUAUUUACUAAGUAAACGAUAUCGAAAAAAACUAAAAUUUUAUUCCUAAGAAAUUCAUAUACCCUAGAUCAUAUUUAACGGUGUGGAUCGUUGAUUUGAACGCCCUAAGAUCGAAAACAAACACUAUAGUACCGGAGCUCGGUACUAUAGAUAGUAUAGUAGCCUAAUUCUAUAUAUAUACAAAUAUAAACUAGGCUAGAAUACUAUUAAUAGCACCAAUGACUUGGUGCUAUUAAGUUUUCUGCCCUUGUAUUAAAAGAUGUGCGGUUAGGACGACGUGGGCCCCCUAGGGUUGAGUGGGUGGUUGGUUGAAUAGUAUAAUCUAACGAGUAACCCUUUCAAUCAUUAGGUAAAUGAUAUCGAAAAGUCACAAAAUUUAUUUUCUAGAUACUUUAAAUAUGCUAGAUCAAAUCUAACAGAGCCGAUCGUCGAUUCGCAAGCUCCAUCAUCGAAAACGGCUUAGGAGCACGGAGGCCUCCGUGCUCCUAAUAGCACACAAUACCUCUGUUAGAUUUGAUUUAGCAUAUUUAAAGUAUCUAGAAAAUAAAUUUUGUGACUUUUCGAUAUCAUUUACCUAAUGAUUGAAAGGGUUCAAAAUAAACGGCUGAAAAUAAAAAUCUCAUAAAAAAGUAGUGAUAUAGUGUUAAAAUUUUCUAUCAAACAUAUUGAUCUUGCUGUAAAUAGUAUAAAGAAUUUUCUAUCAAAAUUUCAUACGAUUUGAAUACUUCUACACCGUUAAACUUGCAAACGGUAUAUAUCAACCAUUAAAAGUUGUUGAUUUUGAACCUUUUCGAUCUCUAAGAAAAUGAUACCGAAAAAUUACAAAAAUUAUUUUUUAGAUAAUUCAAAUACGCUAGAUCAAGUCUAACGAAACCGAUCGUCGAUUCAGCAGCUCUAUCAUCGAAAACGGCUUAGGAGCACGGAGGCCUCCGUGCUCCUAAUAGCACACAAGACCUACUAUAUAUAUAUAUAUAUAUAUAUAUUAAAAAUUUAUAUAUAAAUAUAAUAUAUUUUAAUUAUAUAUUGACUAAGUGUAUAAUCUGAGUUUAGUUAAAAUUGGAACAAUAUUGUUGGCCUAUAAAAAUAAACCCAAUAGGCAAAUAAAAAGGCAAAAUUCUACUAAAUUUACACUCUCUCCCUCUCUUUCUUUCACAGAGCUCUAAAUCUCAAAUCUCUUUCUCUCUCUCUUUCUUUUUCUCUAUCUCUCACAAGCCUGAAGACCCCCAAGUUACUAAGUAACAGUAUGCUCCGCCGUUACCUAUUUCGCCAUUAGUUGUGUGUUUGAAAAAAUAUACAGAAUGUUUUUAAGAUAAAAAAUUAUUAUUUAUACAAAAGUUUGAUUUUAGUUAUAUAUUAUAAAAUAGUUUAUUCCAAUAUUAUCUUAUAUAAUUUAUUCAUUUUUUGACCGCAUGGAUGAAAUAAAAUAAUAUAAAAAUUGAAGGCAGAAGAAAAGACAUGCGAGACUAAAAAAAUUAGAUAUUUAAUUC
rnacentral:lncRNA from 1 species